rnacentral:rRNA from 1 species
UACGUAGGAACCAAGCGUUGUCCGGAAUUACUGGGUGUAAAGGGUGCGCAGGCGGACUUGUGCGUCAGAGGUUAAAUACCACCGCUCAACGGUGGAAAUGCCUUUGAUACGGCAAGUCUUGAGUACGAGAGAGGAUGGUAGAAUUCCUGGUGUAGCGGUGAAAUGCGUAGAUAUCAGGAGGAAUACCAGUGGCGAAGGCGGCCAUCUGGCUCGUUACUGACGCUCAGGCACGAAAGCGUGGGGAGCAAACAGG